rnacentral:ncRNA from 17 species
UUGACAUAAAAAAGAUAUAGUAGUACUUUUUUCAAAAAAGUAUCACUCUCUGCAACGGGGAAUCCGGUGAAAAUCCGGAGCGGGCCCGCCACUGUGAGUGGGGACGAAGGCUUCAUGCGCCACUGUCUGAUAUUUCAGAUGGGAAGGCGAAGUCUGUAGGUUGAUCCACGAGCCAGGAUACCCGUCAGAGAGGAUGCCUUUUGG